AACGAACGCUGGCGGCAUGCCUAACACAUGCAAGUCGAACGAGACCGUCGGGCCUUUUUGCGCUCGUGUGCGUAACGCGGGGGAACCUACCCGUAAGUUCGCUAUAACUCCCCUUAAGGGGUGCUAAUACCGCAUAAUCUCUUCCGACCAAAGAUUUCUCGCCGUUGGAUGGGCCCGCGUUGGAUUAGCUAGUUGGUAGGGUAAAGCCUACCAAGGCGACGAUCCAUAGCUGGUCUGGGAGGAUGAUCAGCCACGCUGGGACUGAGACACGGCCCAGACUCCUACGGGAGGCAGCAGUGGGGAAUAUUGGACAAUGGGCGAAAGCCUGAUCCAGCAAUGCCGCGUGAGUGAUGAAGGCCUUAGGGUUGUAAAGCUCUUUUACCCGGGAUGAUAAUGACAGUACCGGGAGAAUAAGCACCGGCUAACUCCGUG
rnacentral:rRNA from 1 species